rnacentral:rRNA from 1 species
UACGGGGGGGGCAAGCGUUGUUCGGAAUUACUGGGCGUAAAGGGCUCGUAGGCGGCCAACUAAGUCAGACGUGAAAUCCACAGGCUUAACCUGGGAACUGCGUCUGAUACUGGAUGGCUUGAAUCCGGGAGAGGGAUGCAGAAUUCCAGGUGUAGCGGUGAAAUGCGUAGAUAUUCGCAAGAACACCAGUGGCGAAGGCGGCUCACUGGCCCGAUACUGACGCUGAGGCACGAAAGCGUGGGGAGCAAACAGG